GGAGGCUGAGGAAAAGAAGGUCCAGUGACAGGCCCAAAGUGGGAUCCAGCUCAAGGAACAGAGUCAACAACUUCCAGAGACACAGCCUGCAAAUUCACAGAAGGGCAGAAGAAACAUUUUCCUGGAGCUGGGGCAUUUUGCCCAAAAUGAAGAAAAUUUUCCAAGACUGAAUUCCAGAUUGUGCCUCACAGAUCACGAUCCUCUCUGUUCAGAACUGUUGUGGGUUAUUAUUCCUCAGAAAUGAAGAAAAGGCAUGAUUCCAGAUUGUGAACAUCAUGAGAACUUGGCUUUGAAGACUACUAAAGAGUUGCCUUAGCUUGAAGUCCGAAUAUAAAGGCAUUUUCAGAAUACCUUUGUGUAUACAAAAUGUGGGCAGAAUUAAAAGCAAGCAGGAAGUCAAAGAAAAUCUUGAGACUUUGAAGUGAUGGAUAACAAGGCUCCUAAAGGUGGUGAGGACUUUCUUUAUCCUCAUCAAUGGCAAGUGGUCUUAGAUGAGGGUGCCCAUAAUAUUUGUAAAAAUAUUAUUAUUAUAAACUUAUGUUACUUUUCAGAGCUUGUAAUAUGAUUUACUUAAUUUUUUCUCUUCAUUUUUUUCAUUCAAACACUCUGGAAUGAAUCAUUACAUUUCAUAUUAAGUUUCUUGUGGGUCAUAACAAAUGUAGCAGAAGGCAAAGCAUUCCGCUCAGGUGCGCUCAGCCAUGACCUCCUGUUUGGUCAGAUAAGGAAAACAAGCAUCUGCUAUAAACAAGGAGACAUUCUUCCUUAUUCACAGGUCCAUUGCAGCCAAAAACAGGAGUCAUUAAUUCACAAAUAUCUGCUGUGCACUGCUUUACACCUAGGGAUGCUCUUGUGUACUAGCAAAGACAGAGAAGAGUCAUAUCCCCUUGAAGUUUGAGUUCUGAACACUUGUUGCCCAAACUGGCACCAUUUGUGAGGGAAGAAAUGAUACAGUGUCUUCAUGUGGAUUCUUGAAGAGAUGUUUGCUUUUGUAAAAUGUCUGAAGAAAACACGUAGUUCUUCUCCUGUUCCCAGGAAAGGUGUGAUAAUAUUGCUGAGAAGGCAUUCUGUAUACCCCAGCUCUAAAACUGUUUUCUUUAAUGCUCUGCGCCUCUGGGAAAGUUUGUUUCUCAUUAAAAGAAUUCUCUCUUGGCACAU